GAUGAACGCUGGCGGCGGGCCUAAUACAUGCAAGUCGAGCGGACGGACGGGAAGCGUGCUUGGAUGAUGUUAGCGGCGGACGGGUGAGGAACACGUGGCUAACCUACCUAUAGGACUGAGGUAACUUAGGGGAACCGGAUCUAAUACCGGAUAAGAUGUUGAACCGCAUGGUUCAAAAGUGAAAAACGGUCUUGCUGUCCCUUAGAGAGGGAUCCGCGCUGGAUUAGCUAGGUGGUAGGGUAACGACGUACCAAGGCAACGAUCCAUAGCUGACCUGAGAGGAUGAUCAGGCACACUGGAACUGAGACACGGUCCAGACUCCUACGGGAGGCAGCAGUGGGGAAUAUUGGACAAUGGGCGAAAGCCUGAUGCAGCCAUGCCGCGUGUGUGAAGAAGGUCUUCGGAUUGUAAAGCACUUUAAGUUGGGAGGAAGGGCAGUAAGUUAAUACCUUGCUGUUUUGACGUUACCAACAGAAAAAGCACCGGCUAACUUCGUG
rnacentral:rRNA from 1 species